rnacentral:misc_RNA from 1 species
GAUGAAGAACGUAGUGAAAUGCGAUAAGUAAUGCGAAUUGCAGAAUUUCCGUGAGUCAUCGAAUCUUUGAACGCACAUUGCGCCCACUGGUAUUCCGGUGGGCAUGCCUGUUCGAGCGUCAUUAUCCUCCCUCAAACCCCGGGUUUGGUGUUGGACCCAAGUUGUGUGAACAACUGGUCUCAAAGACAAUGACGGCGUCCGUGGGACCCUCGGUGCAACGAGCUUUUAGGAGCACGCAUCGAGUUGCAAGGACCUUCCGGGCCGGUCUCCUUUACCAUUUUACAAGGUUGCCCUCGGAUCAGGUAGGAAUACCCGCUGAACUUAAGCAUAUCAAUAAGCGGAGGA